UACAGAGGGUGCAAGCGUUAAUCGGAAUUACUGGGCGUAAAGCGCGCGUAGGCGGCUGCUUAAGUCGGGUGUGAAAGCCCCGGGCUCAACCUGGGAACUGCAUUCGAUACUGGGCGGCUAGAGUAUGAGAGAGGGAGGUAGAAUUCCACGUGUAGCGGUGAAAUGCGUAGAUAUGUGGAGGAAUACCGGUGGCGAAGGCGGCCUCCUGGCUCAAUACUGACGCUGAGGUGCGAAAGCGUGGGGAGCAAAC
rnacentral:rRNA from 1 species